ensembl:lincRNA
CUCUAGGUCCAAUCCUUGCAUUUUAUUCCCUCUUCAGCAUCAUCACAUCGCGCCCUGGGGCGCCUGCUCGGCCUCAGUGGAAUCCCCUAGGUGCGCACCUCCGCCUUUCCCUGGCUGUGAAGCGGGAUUCUUCUCUUGGCACCUUGCUUCGCCUUUGGAUAGCAGAAGCAGAGGCCGUGGAGUCUGCUGACCAUGCCACGUCCAGGAACCUCAGGAUGCGGAGCGGCCAGCUGCCCACGCACCCAUUUCACCGCCAGAGACCAUUAUUUCUCCACCGCCCUGUUCCUCUGAGCCUCCGCCUGCGCCGCUGUCCUCCGCCCAGCACCCGGACGGCACGGUCCUGCGCCAGCGCUCUGGUGGCUGGUGUGCCGUCCGCUCCCGACCUCUGCUCGGCCUGGUGACUGCAUCCGCAGAGCUCCCGGGCCGCCCGACGCCGGUGACCGCGACCCGAUCCAGCCACUGCGGUCUCCGCACCCUGGGCUGUCACCGUGGGCGUUCUUCCUUUCCUGAACUCUCGCGUUCUGAGACCCUGGGCACGGCACUCUGUCCUCCUCUGCCCUCCGUUUUUAAAUCAGUCUGUGGAUUCUUUUCACUUCCCUGGGAUGACGAGCUCUGUAGUUCAUCUGUGCUCACUCCCUUUUCUUUCAGUGCUUGGCGGAAGGUGUCCUCAGCGGGCGCCAGGUCUCAUCAGCGCAGGUCAAAACUAUGCCUCACUGAGAGUUGAUUCUCUUUGGCUGACUGCACCUCUGCCACACAAAGAAAGCUUAGCGUUUUCCAAACCCUGAUGGCACUCACCUCACUGACUGGGAUCAUCUGUGCGCCUCCUUCCUUCCGCCACGCUUCCUCUGUACCUGACUUCUGCACUCCCGCCAACCUGUUGAAAUACCUGCGUUCAAAUGCUCCCUUUGGGAAGUUCUCCCUCGGCGCCUCCCCGGGUUUGGUAACUGGUGAUGCUUCCACGUGCCUUUGAGAAAAGCUCUUUUUGGGUGAACCACGCUCACGGAUACCCGGAUGUUGUAGUUUGAACUCGGCCCCGCUCGCCGUCCUCACCCGGUCUCCUUUGCUGGACCCCGUGUUUUCUUUCAGAUACUUCCUUAUAGCUCCUUGACCUCGUCCGCUUCACCCAAGGCGACGGCCGGGUCUGAGCCCUUUCUCGUUACCGCCAUCAGCCGCUGGUACUGUCACAGCCGGCCUGCAUCCGGCUGCCUUGGUCGUGCAGACUUGCUCAGCAUCCCGAUUCUACCGUGACGACAGUCGUUGACUAACUAAAGCUUGUUUGUGUGGAAUAUCGCCGAUCUCUUUCUGAUUAGAAAAGAACAUAAUUUAACUUACCAAACAGAAAAUACAUGAUUAAAAUCUUCUGUAGCCUUCUUCAGGAAUAACUUAGUAGUAUUGUUACGUGUGGGAUUAACUGAUGCACUUUAAAAAUGAAAUCGUGAGUGUGCGGUCUGUGCCGAGUCUCCUUUGCUCAUUUAACAUCUUACAAGAGAUUUCCCAGGGUCCGUAUUAUAUACUCUGCAAGAUUUCUCAGUGAAUUGAAUAACGUUAAACUGAAGAGAAAUCAGAGCAACGGUUUGAAUCCCUCCACUGAGCUUUGUAGCUCUGUGGUCUGGGAGAUUAUUAUUUCUGAGAUUUGUUUGUCAUUUGUAACAUGGAGAUGUUGUUUUGAAUAUUUAAUGAAAUAAUGCAUAUGCCUAGACAUUAAUCGCUAGUGUAAAAUGUUAACUUAGAAUCUCUUGCUGCUUGUGGUUAGAUGCUUGCUCUUUCAAGGCGUGCGCCAUGCUUUGUUGAUCUGCGUUCUGGGUGACUUACUGCUUACCCAUGCAGCUGUGGCCCUCUCUGCCUGAGUUUUAGGGUUCCCUACAAUUUAGCCUGAUCUGAUUAACCCUGUUUUUCACAAUGUAAAUUCUCUCUUCUCUGCAAGUCAUUUCUUUACGGUUGCUUGUGUACAUUAUGUUUAUUUCCACCUUGCCUUCCUUUUGAGGGGCUCCCUUGUACCAGCUGUAUUUGGGAUACAGUCGUGGGUAGAGGGGAAAAUGAAUUCUAUGGAAAACUGAGAUUUAUUAAAAAAUCAGUUCAGCUGGGGACAAGAGGACCCCACAAAGACUAGUAACUGUGUGGCCUUUUUGUCUCAGGUUAGUUCUUGGAGAAGAAUUUCAGGUGGGGGCCAUCAGCAACCCAGUUCUUGCAGCUGGGACAUGAGUAGUCAGUCAUCUGCAAGGUGGCAUUAGGUGGCACACCACGGCAUCCUGCGCACUUGCCGCAUGAUACCCUCCCUCUCCUUUGUGCGUCAGUGAGAUUUUCCGCAGUUGUGUUACCCCGGUAGAGCCACAUACUUGCCGACCUGGGGGAGUUCAGUGUGCACCUCAUUAAUAGAAAGAGUACCGCUGCAGCCAAUGCAAAGGGCUCCCAGUAGCAGGUCUGCAAAAUUAUUGGAUGGCAUAGUGUACAACUGAAUUAUAAUCUAAGGUUUAAAUACAUAUAUAUAAGUUCAUACUGGUAUGAGUAAAUGACUGAAUAAGUAAAUAAAUAAAUAAGUAGGAAAGGAGAGAGAAAUUUCUUGUGCAGAACAACUCCCAAUAAUGUAUAUAUUUACUUCAUUCUCGAGGUGGGAAAUGCUUCCCUCCUUAACUGUGGGCUUUAGUAGUGACUUCUCACCAAAAAGUGUAAUGGGAAGCAGUGGGUUGGGUUGAGUAGAGCAUCUUGAC